rnacentral:rRNA from 1 species
UACGUAGGAGGCGAGCGUUGUCCGGAUUCACUGGGCGUAAAGGGCGCGUAGGCGGCGGCUUGAGUCCCUGCGUGAAAUCUCCCGGCUCAACCGGGAGGGUGCGCGGGAUACUGGGCGGCUUGAGGGCAUCAGAGGAGAGCGGAAUCCCCGGUGUAGUGGUGAAAUGCGUAGAUAUCGGGGGGAACACCAGUGGCGAAGGCGGCUCUCUGGGGUGCACCUGACGCUGAGGCGCGAAAGCGUGGGGAGCGAACCGG